UCUGUUUGACUCUUGGGCAGUUUUCUUCUCUUUCCUUGGCUUGAGUGCCGGGCAGAGCUGGAAAGGCUGGAGACAAGGAGAAGAGUUUACACUUAACUUAUGGAGGACUCCCAGAAAUAGGUAACUGAUGGAGGAAUAGGAGGAUAGGAGUGGCCUUGGGCAGAAGCAUUUUGCAGGAGACUGGAGAUUCAGCAUUCACUCAUAGAAUCAAGACAUUGCAAAACGGGUUUUGUCAUAUACCCUUGCUAAUAUACAGCCUGAUACAAUGAAGGCGAUGUUCUUACAGGACAACACGGACCCCAGGACAGAGUUAAGAACUAUAGGCAACCAUGAAAGACCUGCUGUGAAUGGUUUGACUUCUUGCCUAUUUUUCUUCUGAACUGUGGAAAUUGUUAAUAUUAGCAUAGUAUUAAGAUUUUUUCACCAACAUAUAUAAUUCUCUUUAUCUCAUCCCUUCAGUUAAAGUCUGACCGAGCAAUAUAUUGACUAGGUGUCUGCUUUCAGUUACCUUCUGUGUGUAAGAAAGGGGCUCAGUGUGUCACAGGCUACAGCAUGCUGCAUUCGAGAAUUUCUCUCAUGUCCUCUCUGUACCUGGUUCCCAUAAACAAGAAGUCCUGUGCUCACAGGUCCCUCAGAGGUUUCCGUGAAAUGUCUCUUUUACAUAGUGUUUUUUGCCUCACUGCCCAGGAGCUAACACUUAUCCUCAGAAGGCACUGGGCAGAAGCAGGGUCCUGAGGAACACACUCAGAAUUGCCUUCCCUUUCAUGCUAGUCCUGUGCCCUUCAAAUAGUCUCACCUCCCUUAGGGUAAACUGCUCCUCAGAGCCAGGCAAAGAUGCCGAGCAGGUCCUCUGUAUGCCUACCACCUGUCUGUGUCUCAGGGUGCACACAGCUUGGGUUAGGCAGAGCCUUCCUACUACAUAGCUGCCACUUCCUGCAUCUGGUCUGUCAGCUGUUUAAAUGGUGAGUGUGGUAACACUGCAGAAGUCCCCACCCCCUGGUCAGCCACCACACAAGGCAUCCAGCCUCUGUGCAGAGCAGAGCCUUGGGAACCAGCGCACCUUACUCUCCCUAACCUUCCCUAGCCUUCCUUCUGGAGCACG